rnacentral:rRNA from 1 species
GAUGAACGCUGGCGGCGUGCUUAACACAUGCAAGUCGAACGAUGACUCCCAGCUUGCUGGGUGGAUUAGUGGCGAACGGGUGAGUAACACGUUAGUAACCUGCCCUUAACUCUGGGAUAAGCCUGGGUAACUGGGUCUAAUAUCGGAUAGGAGCGUCCACCGCAUGGGGGGUGUUGGCAAGAUUUGUCGGUUUUGGUUGGACUCGCGGCCUAUCAGCUUGUUGGUGAGGUAAGGGCUCAGCAAGGCGACGACGGGUAGCCGGCCUGAGAGGGGAACAGGCCACACUGGGACUGAGACACGGCCCAGACUCCUACGGGAGGGAGCAGUGGGGAAUAGUGCACAAGGGGCGCAAGCCUGAUGCAGCGACGCCGCGUGAGGGAUGACGGCCUUCGGGUUGUAAACCUAUUUCAGUAGGGAAGAAGCGAAAGUGACGGUACCUGCAGAAGAAGCACCGGCUAACUACGUG